rnacentral:rRNA from 1 species
CCUACGGGGGGCUGCAGUGGGGAAUAUUGGACAAUGGGCGAAAGCCUGAUCCAGCCAUGCCGCGUGUGUGAAGAAGGCCUUCGGGUUGUAAAGCACUUUCAGUGGGGAAGAAAGCCUUGGGGCUAAUACCCUCGAGGAAGGACAUCACCCACAGAAGAAGCACCGGCUAACUCCGUGCCAGCAGCCGCGGUAAUACGGAGGGUGCGAGCGUUAAUCGGAAUUACUGGGCGUAAAGCGCGCGUAGGCGGUCUGAUAAGCCGGUUGUGAAAGCCCCGGGCUCAACCUGGGAACGGCAUCCGGAACUGUCAGGCUAGAGUGCAGGAGAGGAAGGUAGAAUUCCCGGUGUAGCGGUGAAAUGCGUAGAGAUCGGGAGGAAUACCAGUGGCGAAGGCGGACUUCUGGACUGACACUGACGCUGAGGUGCGAAAGCGUGGGUAGCAAACAGGAUUAGAUACCCCUGUAGUC